rnacentral:rRNA from 1 species
CUGSCGGCGUGCCUAAUACAUGCAAGUCGAACGAACUCUGGUAUUGAUUGGUGCUUGCAUCAUGAUUUACAUUUGAGUGAGUGGCGAACUGGUGAGUAACACGUGGGAAACCUGCCCAGAAGCGGGGGAUAACACCUGGAAACAGAUGCUAAUACCGCAUAACAACUUGGACCGCAUGGUCCGAGCUUGAAAGAUGGCUUCGGCUAUCACUUUUGGAUGGUCCCGCGGCGUAUUAGCUAGAUGGUGGGGUAACGGCUCACCAUGGCAAUGAUACGUAGCCGACCUGAGAGGGUAAUCGGCCACAUUGGGACUGAGACACGGCCCAAACUCCUACGGGAGGCAGCAGUAGGGAAUCUUCCACAAUGGACGAAAGUCUGAUGGAGCAACGCCGCGUGAGUGAAGAAGGGUUUCGGCUCGUAAAACUCUGUUGUUAAAGAAGAACAUAUCUGAGAGUAACUGUUCAGGUAUUGACGGUAUUUAACCAGAAAGCCACGGCUAACUACGUGCCAGCAGCCGCGGUAAUACGUAGGUGGCAAGCGUUGUCCGGAUUUAUUGGGCGUAAAGCGAGCGCAGGCGGUUUUUUAAGUCUGAUGUGAAAGCCUUCGGCUCAACCGAAGAAGUGCAUCGGAAACUGGGAAACUUGAGUGCAGAAGAGGACAGUGGAACUCCAUGUGUAGCGGUGAAAUGCGUAGAUAUAUGGAAGAACACCAGUGGCGAAGGCGGCUGUCUGGUCUGUAACUGACGCUGAGGCUCGAAAGUAUGGGUAGCAAACAGGAUUAGAUACCCUGGUAGUCCAUACCGUAAACGAUGAAUGCUAAGUGUUGGAGGGUUUCCGCCCUUCAGUGCUGCAGCUAACGCAUUAAGCAUUCCGCCUGGGGAGUACGGCCGCAAGGCUGAAACUCAAAGGAAUUGACGGGGGCCCGCACAAGCGGUGGAGCAUGUGGUUUAAUUCGAAGCUACGCGAAGAACCUUACCAGGUCUUGACAUACUAUGCAAAUCUAAGAGAUUAGACGUUCCCUUCGGGGACAUGGAUACAGGUGGUGCAUGGUUGUCGUCAGCUCGUGUCGUGAGAUGUUGGGUUAAGUCCCGCAACGAGCGCAACCCUUAUUAUCAGUUGCCAGCAUUAAGUUGGGCACUCUGGUGAGACUGCCGGUGACAAACCGGAGGAAGGUGGGGAUGACGUCAAAUCAUCAUGCCCCUUAUGACCUGGGCUACACACGUGCUACAAUGGAUGGUACAACGAGUUGCGAACUCGCGAGAGUAAGCUAAUCUCUUAAAGCCAUUCUCAGUUCGGAUUGUAGGCUGCAACUCGCCUACAUGAAGUCGGAAUCGCUAGUAAUCGCGGAUCAGCAUGCCGCGGUGAAUACGUUCCCGGGCCUUGUACACACCGCCCGUCACACCAUGAGAGUUUGUAACACCCAAAGUCGGUGGGGUAACCUUUUAGGAACCAGCCGCCUAAGGUGGGACAGAUGAUUAGGGUGAAGUCGUAACAAGGU